rnacentral:lncRNA from 1 species
ACCAACAUAAACCUUACAAAGUUCUUGCCUGAAAAACCCUGCUAAAAAUUAAACCGGCAUACUAUACCACCACAGAAGUUUUUUCCUAAGUACAAACCAAAAAACCUCUGAGAACUGUCAAAACAAAGUAACGACAAAAGAUUACCAACAGUUUAUACUAUAUUAAAUUUAUUACAACUUUUAUAACACCAAUGCAAAAAUAAGCCAUCCAAUAUGCAACAACAUUCGCAGCGCAGCGGUUGCCCAAUGGCCAU